rnacentral:rRNA from 1 species
GAGUUUGAUCAUGGCUCAGAUUGAACGCUGGCGGCAGGCUUAACACAUGCAAGUCGAACGAUGAUUACUAGCUUGCUAGUAUGAUUAGUGGCGAACGGGUGAGUAAUGCUUAGGAAUCUGCCUAUUAGUGGGGGACAACAUUCCGAAAGGAAUGCUAAUACCGCAUACGUCCUACGGGAGAAAGCAGGGGAUCUUUUGACCCUGCGCUAAUAGAUGAGCCUAAGUCGGAUUAGCUAGUUGGUGGGGUAAAGGCCUACCAAGGCGACGAUCUGUAGCUGGUCUGAGAGGAUGAUCAGCCACACUGGGACUGAGACACGGCCCAGACUCCUACGGGAGGCAGCAGUGGGGAAUAUUGGACAAUGGGCGAAAGCCUGAUCCAGCCAUGCCGCGUGUGUGAAGAAGGCCUUUUGGUUGUAAAGCACUUUAAGUGGGGAGGAAAAGCUAAUAAUUAAUACCCUAUUAGGCCCUGACGUACCCACA